rnacentral:rRNA from 1 species
UACAGAGGUCUCAAGCGUUGUUCGGAUUCAUUGGGCGUAAAGGGUGCGCAGGUGGCGUCGUAAGUCAGGUGUGAAAUCUCGGGGCUCAACCCCGAAACUGCACUUGAUACUGCGAUGCUCGAGUACUGGAGAGGAGAUUGGAAUUUACGGUGUAGCAGUGAAAUGCGUAGAUAUCGUAAGGAAGACCAGUGGCGAAGGCGAAUCUCUGGACAGUUACUGACACUGAGGCACGAAGGCCAGGGGAGCAAACGGG